rnacentral:piRNA from 1 species
GCAGAAACCACAGUGCCUGGAAUGUUCUA